rnacentral:misc_RNA from 1 species
GUAGAAUGCCAAAAAGAAAUUGUUCCAAAUGGGAGAUCUGAAAUCUUGGGAGUACAGUUUCAAAAACCAUAAUCAACCACUCGGAACAAAAAUCAUUACAUAUGCCUUGAAAGCAUCUCUUAGGUCACCAAAAAACUAAUAUGAUGGCUCACUUUCACAAGGGUUGUGAUAAUACACAAAUAGAUUCCACUACAUAGUAUAACAAAUUUUACAAC